AGCGAAAAUGAUGAUUUCUUUUGAAUCUGAAUUUAGGUGUGGAAUCGCAUCUCGUCGUAUUGGUCUUCAAAGUUCUCUGAUUGCU